rnacentral:rRNA from 1 species
CACGUAGGGCGCAAGCGUUGUCCGGAAUUAUUGGGCGUAAAGAGCUCGUAGGUGGCUUGUCGCGUCUGCCGUGAAAGCCCGUGGCUUAACUACGGGUCUGCGGUGGAUACGGGCAGGCUAGAGGCUGGUAGGGGCAAGCGGAAUUCCUGGUGUAGCGGUGAAAUGCGCAGAUAUCAGGAGGAACACCAGUGGCGAAGGCGGCGCUCUGGGCCGGAACUGACGCUGAGGAGCGAAAGCGUGGGUAGCAAACAGG